CGCCCAGGCGCGGCCCAUGAAGCCGGGGUAGUCGUCGUCGUCGUCGUCCGCGAUGUCCAUGAGGUCAUCGUCCGUGUCGAGGUCCGCGCGCGACGCGGCGGCGGCGAAACGCCCCGCGCGGAGGCGGCGGCUCGAGGGACGUGACGCGAAAUGCGGGCUGCUCGCCGCCGCCGCCGUGGGGCGGCGUGACGCGCGGCGGGGCGCGAGCGUCGCGGUCGCGCGUCCGGCGGACGACCGGGGCGCGGCGCGUGAGACCGUCGCGGCGGUGCAAGAUGCGCGGGCGGUCGUCGUGGCGCUCAUCGUCCCACUUCACUCCCUCGGCGUUCGCCCUCGCGUCGGUGACGGGGGAGCCAACCCUUUCGCCACGUAAAGUGGAUAAAAAGCGAGAGCGGCUCGGGGCUCUUCGCGGAACGUCGGGUAAGGCGGAACCGGGUCCUGGAGUCGGGUCGUAACCGCGGCAGUCUCUUCGUUCGCACGAAAGAUACCGAGGGAGCCGGUGCGCGCGUCCCGAGGAAGGGGCGCCGCGAGUAGUGACGCGGCGUACCGGCCAUUUCCCCCAUUAGCCAAAAGUGCGGCGGGGACGAAACCGGAGUGCGGGACGCGAGCCAUCCAAAAAAAGGGUUCUGUUGUUGCUUUCGUCUCCGUGGAGC
rnacentral:lncRNA from 1 species